UGAGUGUCUGCUGGCCACCUCAUAUCCUC
rnacentral:piRNA from 1 species